UAGGGAAUUUUGGACAAUGGGCGAAAGCCUGAUCCAGCAAUGCCGCGUGUGUGAAGAAGGCCUUCGGGUUGUAAAGCACUUUUGUCCGGAAAGAAAUCCUUGGCUCUAAUACAGUCGGGGGAUGACGGUACCGGAAGAAUAAGCACCGGCUAACUACGUGCCAGCAGCCGCGGUAAUACGUAGGGUGCAAGCGUUAAUCGGAAUUACUGGGCGUAAAGCGUGCGCAGGCGGUUUGCUAAGACCGAUGUGAAAUCCCCGGGCUCAACCUGGGAACUGCAUUGGUGACUGGCAGGCUAGAGUAUGGCAGAGGGGGGUAGAAUUCCACGUGUAGCAGUGAAAUGCGUAGAGAUGUGGAGGAAUACCGAUGGCGAAGGCAGCCCCCUGGGCCAAUACUGACGCUCAUGCACGAAAGCGUGGGGAGCAAACAGGAUUAGAUACCCUGGUAGUCCACGCCCUAAACGAUGUCAACUAGUUGUUGGGGAUUCAUUUCCUUAGUAACGUAGCUAACGCGUGAAGUUGACCGCCUGGGGAGUACGGUCGCAAGAUUAAAACUCAAAGGAAUUGACGGGGUCAUAGCUGUUUCCU
rnacentral:rRNA from 1 species